UGCUAGGGGCGCCUUUGGCUGAGAUGAAGUUUAACUUCUGUCCCUUAUUACUUGAACCAGAUAAUGCUGGCGUAAGGAAGCA
rnacentral:ncRNA from 1 species